AGCAGCCGCGGUAAUUCCAGCUCCAAUAGCGUAUAUUAAAGUUGUUGCAGUUAAAAAGCUCGUAGUUGAAUUUCGAGACCGGUUUACUGGUCGUGCUUUUGGACGUACUGGUAUUAUUGGUUUCUCCUUUCUGACGAAUCAUAAUGCCAUUAAUUUGGUGUUUUGGGGAAUCAGGACUGUUACUUUGAAAAAUUAGAGUGUUUAAAGCAGGCUCACGCUUGAAUACAUUAGCAUGGAAUAACGAAAUAGGACGUUUGAUUUUAUUUUGUUGGUUUCUAGGAUCGACGUAAUGAUUAAUAGGGAUAGUUGGGGGCAUUAGUAUUCAAUUGUCAGAGGUGAAAUUCUUGGAUUUAUUGAAGACUAACUACUGCGAAAGCAUUUGCCAAGGAUGUUUUCAUUAAUCAAGAACGAAAGUUAGGGGAUCGAAGACGAUCAGAUACCGUCGUAGUCUUAACCAUAAACUAUGCCGACUAGGGAUCGGAUGAUGUUAAUUUUUAAUGUACUCA
rnacentral:rRNA from 1 species